UCUUUAUACUUACUUAUUAGAGUACCCUUAAUUGUUUCAAAAAUGGGGGCAAUAACAAAGUAAUUCAAUUGUAUUCCCAACGUUACAACGCAUGACGCAUGAUAUAGUUAUAUUCAUUUUUACUGUUGUGGUUUGAAUGUAACUCCCUAGUUGUAUCUCUUCUCUUCUCUUUUGGUGUUUUUUUUUUAAUCCCCUCUUGCGCUCCAUGCGCGACUACCACACCACACCACACCUAUGCAAGCCCCAUUACCAGACAUCCGGAGCCUGGUGAUCGCUAUG
rnacentral:sRNA from 1 species